GCGCCACUAGCUCAACGGUAGAGCAGCGGACUCUUAAUCCGUUGGUUCCUGGUUCGAAUCCUGGGUGGCGCACCA
rnacentral:tRNA from 1 species